rnacentral:rRNA from 1 species
UACGUAGGGGGCAAGCGUUGUCCGGAUUUAUUGGGCGUAAAGAGCGUGUAGGCGGCCAGGUAGGUCUGCUGUGAAAACUCGAGGCUUAACCUCGAGCUGUCGGCGGAAACCAUCUGGCUAGAGUCCGGAAGAGGAGAAUGGAAUUCCCGGUGUAGCGGUGAAAUGCGCAGAUAUCGGGAGGAACAUCAGUUGCGAAGGCGGCUCUCUGGACCAGCACUGACACUGAGGCACGAAAGCGUGGGGAGCAAACAGG